AAUGAACGCUGGCGGCGUGCCCAACACAUGCAAGUCGGAUGUGCCGCAAGGUGCAUGGCAGACGGGUGAGUAACGCGUAGGGAAUCUACCUUUUUGUGGGGAAUAACGCUCCGAAAGGAGUGGUAAUACCGCAUGAGACCGUGAGCUGGGAUGUUCACGGUGAAACCUGGGGACCGCAAGGCCUGGGGCAAAAAGAGGAUCCUGCGUCUGAUUAGCUAGUUGGCGGGGUAAUGGCCCACCAAGGCGACGAUCAGUAGCCGGCCUGAGAGGGUGAUCGGCCACACUGGAACUGAGACACGGUCCAGACUCCUACGGGAGGCAGCAGUGGGGAAUUUUGCGCAAUGGACGAAAGUCUGACGCAGCAACGCCGCGUGGGUGAUGAAGGUCUUCGGACUGUAAAACCCUGUCGUCAGGGACGAAGGUGGCAGUGUUAAUAGCGCUGUUACUUGACGGUACCUGGAGAGGAAGCCCCGGCUAACUCUGUG
rnacentral:rRNA from 1 species